UACGAAGGGGGCGAGCGUUGUUCGGAAUUACUGGGCGUAAAGGGCGCGUAGGCGGUGUGUCAAGUCAGGCGUGAAAGCCCCGGGCUCAACCUGGGAACCGCGCUUGAGACUGGCACGCUCGAGUCCGGGAGAGGAUGGUGGAAUUCCCAGUGUAGAGGUGAAAUUCGUAGAUAUUGGGAAGAACACCGAUGGCGAAGGCAGCCAUCUGGACCGGCACUGACGCUGAGGCGCGAAAGCGUGGGGAGCGAACAGG
rnacentral:rRNA from 1 species